UGAGGAAUUUUGCGCAAUGGGAGCAAUCCUGACGCAGCAACGCCGCGUGGGUGAUGAAGGCCUUCGGGUCGUAAAGCCCUCAGGUGGGAAGAAUGUCCUGGAAUUGAACAGGUUUCGGGAGUGACGGUACCACCAGAGGAAGCACCGGCUAACUCCGUGCCAGCAGCCGCGGUAAUACGGAGGGUGCAAGCGUUAUUCGGAAUUACUGGGCGUAAAGCGCGUGUAGGCGGUCCUGCAAGUCUGAUGUGAAAGCCCCGGGCUUAACCCGGGAAGUGCAGUGGAAACGGCAGGUCUUGAGUACGGGAGAGGAUGGGGGAAUUCCCGGUGUAGAGGUGAAAUUCGUAGAGAUCGGGAGGAAUAUCAGUGGCGAAGGCGCCCAUCUGGACGGUAACUGACGCUGAGACGCGAAAGCGUGGGGAGCAAACA
rnacentral:rRNA from 1 species